rnacentral:rRNA from 1 species
CCUACGGGAGGCAGCAGUAGGGAAUAUUGCUCAAUGGGGGAAACCCUGAAGCAGCAACGCCGCGUGGAGGAUGAAGGUUUUCGGAUUGUAAACUCCUGUUGUUAGAGAAGAUAAUGACGGUAUCUAACGAAUAAGCACCGGCUAACUCAGUGCCAGCAGCCGCGGGAAUACGGAGGGUGCAAGCGUUACGCGGAAUCACUGGGCGUAAAGAGCGCGGAGGCGGGAUAGCAAGUCAGAUGUGAAAUCCUAUGGCUUAACCAUAGAACUGCAUUUGAAACUGUUAUUCUAGAGUAUGGGAGAGGUAGGUGGAAUUCUUGGUGUAGGGGUAAAAUCCGUAGAGAUCAAGAGGAAUACUCAUGGCGAAGGCGACCUGCUAGAACAUAACUGACGCUGAUGCGCGAAAGCGUGGGGAGCAAACAGGAUUAGAUACCCCAGUAGUC